GACGAACGCUGGCGGCGUGCUUAAUACAUGCAAGUCGAACGCUUAUUUCCUCCCGAGUGCUUGUCCUCAAUUGGAUAGAGGAGUGGUGGACGGGUCAGUAACACGCUGGUAAUCUACCCAUAAGAGGGGGAUAACACUUGGACACAGGUGCUAAUAUCGCUUAACACUUUAUGCCGCAUGGCAUAAGUGUGAACGGCGCUUUCGGGUGUUGCUGUCGGCUGGACGUGCGGUGCAUUAGCUAGUUGGUGAGGUAACGGCUCACAAAGGCCACGUUGCAUAGCCGACCUGAUGGGUGGAUCGACAACACUGGAACGGGGACACGGCCAAGACUCCUAGGGGAGGAGGCAGGAGGGAACCUUCGGAAGUGGACGAAAGUCUGACCGAGUAACGCGGCGUAGGUGAAAAGGAUUUUCGGAUCGUAAAACUCGGUUGUUAGAGAGGAAGAAGGACGUUAGUAACUGAACAACGCCUGACGGUAACUAACCAGAAAGCCACGGCUAACUACGUG
rnacentral:rRNA from 1 species